rnacentral:lncRNA from 1 species
CUUAUCAUCUCCCACAGAUCAGGCGCUCCCCCACCUGUUGGAUCAUACCCUAUGGCUAGAUAUCUUCCUCAGGAGGAGACUCUUGCACAUUGGAAAACCGACACAUUAGAGUCAAGAUCUUCCUUGCAGAACUAGGAGGAGGUUUUUGUUCCAAGGGACCUGUCCUCAAAUGUGGGACUUGAUGAAAGAAACAGCAAAGAUUUCAAGACUCAGCUGGCAUCAGUAAAGAAGUAUCACGCUGGGAGAGAGAGCUGUCACCCUGAUGCACGGCAAUCUGCCCGCAGCUUCCUCUGGAUAGGGACGAGAAUUCCUGGGAAGCAGCAGAUAAAUGUGUUACAUCCAUUUUUACGCAGAGAAGCCCAACACUAGCUACUUCCAGACAGAGUUGGUCCAGUGCUGCGGUUAUCAUGUUAACUUUCCCAGCCUCCAUAU